UGAAUACGAGAUGCUACGGCGUCGAAGCAGUCUAUGUCAUACUUCCAAGAAAAGCUUGCACUGUCAUAAACAAAUAAUGCCUGUACCAUAACCGACACAGGUGGGUAGGUAGAGUAUACUAAGGGGCGCGAGAUAACUCUCUCUAAGGAACUCGGCAAAAUAACUCCGUAACUUCGGGAGAAGGAGUGCCUUAUUUAUAAGGUUGCAAUAACAAGAUCCAAGCAACUGUUUACCAAAAACACAGGUCUCCGCGAAGUCGUAAGACGAUGUAUGGGGGCUGACGCCUGCCCAGUGCCAGAAGGUUAAAGAAGUUGGUUAGCAUUCGCGAAGCUGAUAACUGAAGCCCUGGUGAACGGCGGCCGUAACAAUAACGGUCCUAAGGUAGCGAAAUUCCUUGCCGGGUAAGUUCCGACCCGCACGAAAGGCGUAAUGAUUUGGAUACUGUCUCGGAGAGGGGCUCGGUGAAAUAGACUUGUCUGUGAAGAUGCGAACUACCUGCACCUGGACAGAAAGACCCUAUGAAGCUUUACUGUAACUUGAAAUUGAAAUUGGACUUUAUUUGCGCAGUAUAGGUGGGAGGCAUUGAAAAUAUUCUUGCGGGAUUAUUGGAGCCAUCAGUGAGAUACCACUCUUGUAAUGUUAGAUUUCUAACUUUGUAUCAUUAUCUGGUCAAAGAACAGUUUCAGGCGGGCAGUUUGACUGGGGCGGUCGCCUCCCAAACGGUAACGGAGGCGCACAAAGGUUUCCUCUGAACGGGUAGAAAUCGUAUCUAGAGUGUAAAGGCAUAAGGAAGCUUGACUGUGAGACCUACAAGUCGAGCAGGGACGAAAGUCGGUCUUAGUGAUCUGACGGUGCUGAGUGGAAAGGCCGUCACUCAACGGAUAAAAGUUACUCUAAGGAUAACAGGCUGAUCUCCCCCAAGAGUUCACAUCGACGGGGAGGUUUGGCACCUCGAUGUCGGCUCAUCGCAUCCUGGGGCGGUAGUACGUCCCAAGGGUUGGGCUGUUCGCCCAUGAAAGCGGUACGCGAGCUGGGUUCAGAACGUCGUGAGACAGUUCGGUCCAUAUCCGGUGUAGGCGUUAGAAUAUUGAGAGGAGCCUUCUCUAGUACGAGAGGACCGAGAAGGACAUACCUCUGGUGUACCAGUUAUCGUGCCAACGGUAAACGCUGGGUAGCUAUGUAUGGAGAGGAUAACCGCUGAAAGCAUCUAAGUGGGAAGCCCACCUCAAGAUAAGUAUUCUCAUCACGUAAGUGAAUAAGGUCACGGUAAGACUAACCGUUCGAUAGGCAUUAAGUGUAAAUCUAGUAAUAGGUGAGCUGAGAUGUACUAACAGACCGAAGACC
rnacentral:rRNA from 1 species